rnacentral:rRNA from 1 species
CUUAAAUGAAUUGGCGGGGAGGCACAAGCGGUGGAGCAUGUGGUUUAAUUCGAUGCAACGCGAAGAACCUUACCUGGUCUUGACAUCCACGGAAGUUUUCAGAGAUGAGAAUGUGCCUUCGGGAACCGUGAGACAGGUGCUGCAUGGCUGUCGUCAGCUCGUGUUGUGAAAUGUUGGGUUAAGUCCCGCAACGAGCGCAACCCUUAUCCUUUGUUGCCAGCGGUCCGACCGGGAACUCAAAGGAGACUGCCAGUGAUAAACUGGAGGAAGGUGGGGAUGACGUCAAGUCAUCAUGGCCCUUACGACCAGGGCUACACACGUGCUACAAUGGCGCAUACAAAGAGAAGCGACCUCGCGAGAACAAGCGGACCUCAUAAAGUGCGUCGUAGUCCGGAUUGGAGUCUGCAACUCGACUCCAUGAAGUCGGAAUCGCUAGUAAUCGUGGAUCAGAAUGCCACGGUGAAUACGUUCCCGGGCCUUGCACACACCGCCCG